AGAGUUUGAUCAUGGCUCAGGAUGAACGCUGGCGGCGUGCCUAAUACAUGCAAGUCGAACGCUUUGUGGUUCAACUGAUUUGAAGAGCUUGCUCAGAUAUGACGAUGGACAUUGCAAAGAGUGGCGAACGGGUGAGUAACACGUGGGAAACCUACCUCUUAGCAGGGGAUAACAUUUGGAAACAGAUGCUAAUACCGUAUAACAAUAGCAACCGCAUGGUUGCUACUUAAAAGAUGGUUCUGCUAUCACUAGGAGGUGGUCCCGCGGUGCAUUAGUUAGUUGGUGAGGUAAUGGCUCACCAAGACGAUGAUGCAUAGCCGAGUUGAGAGACUGAUCGGCCACAAUGGGACUGAGACACGGCCCAUACUCCUACGGGAGGCAGCAGUAGGGAAUCUUCCACAAUGGGCGAAAGCCUGAUGGAGCAACGCCGCGUGUGAUGAAGGGUUUCGGCUCGUAAAACACUGUUGUAAGAGAAGAAUGACAUUGAGAGUAACUGUUCAAUGUGUGACGGUAUCUUACCAGAAAGGAACGGCUAAAUACGUGCCAGCAGCCGCGGUAAUACGUAUGUUCCAAGCGUUAUCCGGAUUUAUUGGGCGUAAGGCGAGCGCAGACGGUUAUUUAAGUCUGAAGUGAAAGCCCUCAGCUCAACUGAGGAAUUGCUUUGGAAACUGGAUGACUUGAGUGCAGUAGAGGAAAGUGGAACUCCAUGUGUAGCGGUGAAAUGCGUAGAUAUAUGGAAGAACACCAGUGGCGAAGGCGGCUUUCUGGACUGUAACUGACGUUGAGGCUCGAAAGUGUGGGUAGCAAACAGGAUUAGAUACCCUGGUAGUCCACACCGUAAACGAUGAGUGCUAGGUGUUUGAGGGUUUCCGCCCUUAAGUGCCGCAGCU
rnacentral:rRNA from 1 species